rnacentral:sRNA from 2 species
AAUAUGAUUUGUUAGGCAGAGGCUCCUAUACAAACACAGGCUACUGCCCAGGAACGUCCAGAGACGCCAAUGGGUAUAACAGGAAUUUCCGAUAUAAGGAAUUUUUUAACGUAGCUAACAGGUAUGUUUACGUUGUAUAGUGCUGAAACUCCACGAAAAAGUCAUGAA